rnacentral:lncRNA from 15 species
UAUAUAUAUAUGACAUUCUUUAUUCUAAUUCUACAUGAAGUUUAAAUUAAUAUGAAACAACUAGAAAGAAAUGAAUACAAUCUUGGUCUGGAUUAUAUUAUUUAUAAUAAUAAUAGUAAUAAUAAUAAUAAUAAUAAUAAUAAUAGUUGGAUAUUUCUGGUGUGUUCCUGAUGUUUCUGAUGUAACAAUAACAACCUGACACUGAACGAACCUGUUCCUCUGUGUCUCCAUUGUUGAGCUCUGUGGGUGUUUCCAUGCUGUCUGACUGUGACUGUGAUCAAUAACUCAAUCUGUUAUAUAUUAUAUGCACAAUAUUGUUUACUUUAGCUUCUAAUUAAAUUUAUAAUUUUGUCAGGGACUCUAGCCCGAAACUGUUUCCAUGGUUCGGUCUCACACUGAAUUUUUGUUGGGCCCAAUCAAAGCUUCACAUUCCCAUACUGAGCCCAAAUACUGUAGAUCAAUCAAUAAUCAAUAGUUAUGAUUUAGGCAUUUAGGUUCCUUCAGAUCCAAUGACUAAAAUCCUUCAUCUGGAGUCUUGCUCAACUGUUAUUGGAGGACAGAGCAGAAAGGGGCGGGACUUACGAUGAUCAAAAGCUCCAGAAGAGCUCUUGAGUGGAGCUGGUGAUAACAUUGUUGUCUCCAACUAACUCUCUGCUUCGAUUAACAUCUUAUCGUAACUCGUUGUUUUGUUUACCCAUCAAAUCUCCCAGCAUGCACUGACUUCUGGUGGAGGAAGAGGGCGGAAACCGAACAAGCAACCAGCACACACCUGAUUCCACAACAGGGCAAGACCGGGGAGGAGUUACCUGCUGCUAUAAGAUCAAACCUCCUCCGCCCCCGAGCACAUUCGAUACACAAAGGCAGCCAUGGCAAACUUCCUCAACCAGCUGGGCAACCAGGGCAUCGCAGAGGUUGUCGGAAAGAAAGCGGGCGAAGUGGUGGAGAACACGGUGAAGAGUGUUCUUGGGAAAAGUGAAGAGAACAAGGAGGAGGGGAAGUCAGGAGGAUUCGAUGCAGGAGACGUCCUCUCACUGGUCGGCGGUAAAAAAGACGACAACAAGGGAGGAUUCGAUGCAGGAGACGUCCUCUCACUGGUCGGCGGUGGCAGUAAGGGAGAAGAAGGAGGAGGCCUGGAUGUGAAGAACGUUGUUGGAGGACUCUUUAAGUAGGAACCCUGCAGACCUCAUCCCGACUUUCAGCUUCAGUCCAUCAAACCUGCAAAAGCUGCAGCGAAAAUGUUGAACAUAAAGUCUUUAAAAAUGAUAUAAAUAUAAACGUGUUUAAUUGUUUAAUUAAAUGUAAAUAACUGAAUUCAUGGCUGGUUGACAAUGUUCAUGUUUUCUUUACUGAACCAUGGAAAGGAAGGGUUCAUCUGAUGACCUCUGUUCAUUAAACAUUAAUAAACUGGGUUAUUAUUAAAGUUAUUGUCAUAAAUUAAAUGUAUUAAAUGCUAAUCGAAUGCAGAUUGUAAUAAAACUAGUUUGACACCAUCUUGUUGUUGUACUCUUCAGAUUUGAUCAAUUCAGAUAAAAUGUGCACUGUAAAAAAAGAACUGUCUUCAUUAAAUGUUUUAGUAAAAGUCAAACUUUUAAGUUUAGAAAUAAAAUAAAAUGUAAUAAUGUUUUAUUGAAGUAAUUAAUUUUUCUUCUGUAGAAAACCUUAUGUGACUUUCAGAAACUGAAAUAUUUGUUCUCAGUGAGUCAAGAACUUGAUUUUUUUUAAUUAUUUGGCUGCUUGAAAAUUAAAUAGCUGCAAUUAAAUAUUAAAAUAUUAGUUUUCUGAGCAGGUUUUAAAAUAUUAAUGAUAAUAAUAAUGAUAAUAAUAUUAAUGGUACUUUACAUUCUUAGAAACAAAAUAUUAUAAUAAAGAAAUUGUCUCAUUAAGGUGACUUUCAACCACCCAAAUAAUAAUAAAAAAUCAAGUUCUUGAAUCACUGAAAACAAUUAAAGGAAAACAGUUUGUAAAACUCAAAGAAGUUUUUCUAAAGAAAAAAAAUGAUCUCAAAUAAAGAUUAUUUAUUAUUAUUAUCAUUAUAAAGAUUACCAUUAGAAGGGUGAAAUAAACCAUUUCCAAAACUUAAAAGUUUUGACUAUUUUUUACAGUGUAUAUGCAUGAGUCAGUACAAGAUGUUAAUUAAUUAAUUAAUUAAUUAAAUGAGAUCAACAGACACGUCUCUGUCUCCUGUUUCAAAUCAUUAAUCUCUGCUGCCUGUUAGCAUCUUACAGAAAUAAAGUUUCAUUUGAUUGAACAAAUAUAUUUAAUUGUGCACGAUGAAGACGAGAGAUGUGAAGAGGUGUGUGGAGGUGGGUGUGGUUUGCACUCAGCUGCAGGAGAGAGAGAGGUGUGGGGAGGGCUUGUGAGAGCAGCACCAGGUGAGUUGGUUGUCUCAGCUGCUAAUCGUUGCCUACUCACUCUACCUUUAUGUUGCAGUAGUGUGCUGGACCCCGGCCCGGGGGUGCUACUGAGAGCGAGAGCCGCAGAGUAGUAGAACUGAUUGUGUGUUGUUUGUGUUGGCAACACCGAGACUAACAACAAAAGUUACAUGAAGCAACUAUCUGGUCUGAGAGUUUGUGUUAAACAACUAUUAUAUGACACAUAUUAAAUGUGUUAAGAGAGAAAUUACUGAAUUUACUUCACACAGACUUUAAUGAAGGAAGAUAACAUAACUGAGCUACAAGGUUCAGCUUAAUGUGAAUAUAAAGAGUUUGAUCACAGUUCAAUAAACACGUUUUAAGGUGGAGGAGCUCUUCUGUUCUACCUGCAGUGGAUUCAUCAUGCAGAACUACACCUGUAGAUAAUUAUAAUAUUAAUAUAUUAUGUCACAGUUGCUGCCGCCCAGUUCUGGAAACUUUAAUCUGACGAGUUUCAUAGUGAGUCACACAUUUUACAGAAAGGGAGGAAAGAAACUCACACACACACACACACACAGAGGCCAUUGUUGUCUUUGUCUCGCUGUAACGUGUCCAACCUGCAGCAUCCUGCAAACACCUGCAGUCAGAACUCAGGGCUUCAGCUGCUCACUGUCACAACA